rnacentral:rRNA from 1 species
UUGAAAGGCCGGUUCUCGUAUAAUCACCGAAGUUAAGCAACGUCGAGCCUGGUCAGUACCUAGAUAGGUAACCGCUUGGGAAUACCAGGUGCUGUAAG